GACAAUUUGGCCGAGUGGUUAAGGCGAUUGACUCGAAAUCAAUUGGGAUUUCCCGCGCAGGUUCAAAUCCUGCAGUUGUCG
rnacentral:tRNA from 2 species